UCGUCUUCGUAAGUCGUAAUAAGAGAUACAAGUUUCGAACUGGAGACUAAUCGACAUUACAAGAUUUCAAAAAAAAAACGGAACGAUUACUUUUUUGGACGUGGAUGCACGAAAAUAAAAUAACAAAAAUGUGGUCAACGUUAUGUAAAGUUUGUUGUCGCAGCUUCCCAUGCUCUUCACUUCAUGCUGUUUGGCAGAUUUGAGGCCUGAACCCAGCCUGAACCAGCCAUCGUAACAGCAAAGUUUUGCUUGUGCUGGACCUCCAGUCACAUAUGAUUUGACUGAUGAACUCCUGUCAUCAGCAACAAUCAUCACUUAGAUAAACAGCACCCCAUUUAAUUGGAGAAACUUCCAGUGCCGACCGAGUUAAGGAUCUCUUCAAUUCCCCUUUCUAUCUUUUUGUCCUUGUGUACAUCCAUGUGAAUGUGGGUGUAUUCACGAGGACUCCCUUUUACCUAUCCCUGCUGGUAGAUUCAAUAACUCUUCAGCGGAUGGAUAAAGCACUUGACCACUGGUGGAUGCCUGACUGAAUUUCCCAGGCUUCAAGGUAGGACAAAUUCAUUUCUAUCUUUCCUUUCUGACUAUUGAGUGGCGUUUAUUGUAAAUCGUUGCGGAGUACGGAGUACGAUUAUUCCUGUGCCACGCAGUUGGCUGAAACGGUUUUUUCUUU